UACGUAGGGACCAAGCGUUGUUCGGAUUUACUGGGCGUAAAGGGCGCGUAGGCGGCAAUUCAAGUCAUCUGUGAAAUCUCCGGGCUUAACUCGGAACGGUCAGAUGAUACUGCUUUGCUAGAGUGCGGAAGGGGCAAUCGGAAUUCUUGGUGUAGCGGUGAAAUGCGUAGAUAUCAAGAGGAACACCUGAGGUGAAGACGGGUUGCUGGGCUGAUACUGACGCUGAUGCGCGAAAGCCAGGGGAGCGAACGGG
rnacentral:rRNA from 1 species